rnacentral:rRNA from 1 species
UACGGAGGGGUCGAGCGUUAUUCGGAAUUAUUGGGCGUAAAGGGCGCGUAGGCGGCUGUACAAGUCAAAGGUGAAAUCCCUCGGCUCAACUGAGGAACUGCCUUUGAAACUGUACGGCUUGAGGCCGGGAGGGGGUAGCGGAAUUCCCAGUGUAGCGGUGAAAUGCGUAGAUACUGGGAGGAACACCAGUGGCGAAGGCGGCUACCUGGACCGGUUCUGACGCUGAGGCGCGAAAGCGUGGGUAGCAAACAGG